rnacentral:rRNA from 1 species
AUUGAACGCUGGCGGCAUGCUUUACACAUGCAAGUCGAACGGUAACAGGGUGCUUGCACCGCUGACGAGUGGCGAACGGGUGAGUAAUACGUCGGAACGUGCCGAGUAGUGGGGGAUAACGCAGCGAAAGUUGUGCUAAUACCGCAUACGUACUGAGGUAGAAAGUGGGGGACCUUCGGGCCUCACGCUAUUCGAGCGGCCGACGUCUGAUUAGCUAGUAGGUGAGGGAAAGGCUCACCUAGGCGACGAUCAUUAGCGGGUCUGAGAGGAUGAUCCGCCACACUGGGACUGAGACACGGCCCAGACUCCUACGGGAGGCAGCAGUGGGGAAUUUUGGACAAUGGGCGAAAGCCUGAUCCAGCCAUGCCGCGUGUCUGAAGAAGGCCUUCGGGUUGUAAAGGACUUUUGUCGGGGAGGAAAUCCCCAGCGUUAAUACCGCUGGGGGAUGACAGUACCUGAAGAAUAAGCACCGGCUAACUACGUGCCAGCAGCCGCAGUAAAAC